rfam:Otolemur garnettii contig093883, whole genome shotgun sequence.
GUGCUAGUUUCAUCAGCACAUACACUAAAACUAGAAUGAUAUAAAAAUGGUUAGCAUGGCCCCUGUGCAAACAUAACAUUCAAAUUUGUGAAGUAUUCAAUAAUUUU